GACGAAGGGGGCUAGCGUUGUUCGGAAUUACUGGGCGUAAAGCGCGUGUAGGCGGUUAUCCAAGUCGGGGGCUCAACCCUCGAAUGCCGGUGGAUACUGUCGGGCUAGAGUGCGGAAGAGGCGAGUGGAAUUCCUGGUGUAGCGGUGAAAUGCGCAGAUAUCAGGAGGAACACCAAUUGCGAAGGCAGCUCGCUGGGACGUUACUGACGCUGAGACGCGAAAGCGUGGGGAGCAAACAGG
rnacentral:rRNA from 1 species